GACGAACGCUGGCGGCGUGCCUAAUACAUGCAAGUAGAACGCUGAAGGAGGAGCUUGCUUCUCUGGAUGAGUUGCGAACGGGUGAGUAACGCGUAGGUAACCUGCCUGGUAGCGGGGGAUAACUAUUGGAAACGAUAGCUAAUACCGCAUAAUAGUAGAUGUUGCAUGACAUUUGCUUAAAAGGUGCAAUUGCAUCACUACCAGAUGGACCUGCGUUGUAUUAGCUAGUUGGUGGGGUAACGGCUCACCAAGGCGACGAUACAUAGCCGACCUGAGAGGGGGGUCGGCCAGACUGGGACUGAGACACGGCCCAGACUGAUAGGGGAGGGAGCAGUAGGGAAUCUUGGGCAAGGGGCGGAAGUCUGACCGAGAAAGGCGGCGUGCGUGAAGAAGGAUGUCGGAUCGUAAAGCUCGGUUGUAAGGGAAGAAAGAGUGUGAGAGUGGAAAGUUCACACUGUGACGGUAUCUUACCAGAAAGGGACGGCUAACUACGUG
rnacentral:rRNA from 1 species